UACGGAGGGGGCUAGCGUUGUUCGGAAUUACUGGGCGUAAAGCGCGCGUAGGCGGCUUUGUAAGUUAGAGGUGAAAGCCCAGGGCUUAACCCUGGAAUUGCCUUUAAGACUGCAUCGCUAGAAUCGUGGAGAGGUGAGUGGAAUUCCGAGUGUAGAGGUGAAAUUCGUAGAUAUUCGGAAGAACACCAGUGGCGAAGGCGACUCACUGGACACGUAUUGACGCUGAGGUGCGAAAGCGUGGGAAGCAAACAGG
rnacentral:rRNA from 1 species